rnacentral:lncRNA from 1 species
CCUGCAUCAGCCUACCAAGUAGCUGGGAUUACAGCCUUCCCAGUGGCCAGCAAUGACCAUGUGACUUGAAUUCUGGCCAGUGAGAUGCAAGGGGAAGUAUGCUGGGAAGCAGGGACUCUGGGAAAACAUUUGCAUCUUCAGGAUCAGACAUGAGAGGAGAGCUUGUUGGUUCUCCCUUUUUCUUCCUGACUGUGGGCCAUCUGGUGAAGAGCCAGAAGGCACAUCUGAAAGACAGACCUGGGAUCUUUGAUGACAGCAUUAAGCUGUAGAAGAACCUUGAGAUUGUUGCCUCUGACUUCUUUUUGAGAAUAAUAAAUGUACUUAUAAUAUAAAUGACUGUUACUGUGCUUACUCUAGAUUGCAGUUGCAAGCAUUCCUAUUUGAUACCGGAAGGUGCUGUUGUCAUCUUUGUGUAUUUAUUUCUCCAUUGUUUACAGAUAAGGAAACUGAGGAAUGGAGAGACGAAAUGUCUUGUCCAUGGUCAUCACAGCUGCUACCACGGAAGCCCUAGUCUGGCAGGAAAGAAGAGUCAUUAGGCAUCAUCUGGCAACUUGGCUUGGAGAAGUCAGAUCAGUCACCAAGAGUCUGGUGGGGCUGCAGCAAUGGCUAGAAAGAACCAGUGACAUGAUUGCCAGAUAGAGUGGUCAGAGAAGACCUUUCUGAGGCCAUGGUAUUUAAGAUGAGACUUGAAGAGCAACAAGAAGCUAGACACACAAAGCAGAUAAUUUUUUAAUGGCCAUUUCUGGAGAGAAGUUUCCAAGGGAUGAAGUUAUUAUACAGUUUCCAAAUAUUCCUGAAGAGGUCUAAAGAAAAUGUAUUCUGAUUCCACCUUUUACCUGUUUUCCUUUUUUUUUUUCUCUCUCUCUCUUUUUGGAAUUUGUUAUUUGGAUAUAGGAUACACUAGGCUGGUGCUCCAAUUUUCUUAUAUUUUCUGUUUUCCUUGAAGUUUUAGGGGACUUUCUGAACUUUAUUUUUCAAAAUUCAGUUGAGUCUUUAUUGUUUUCCAAAUAUCAACAUUUCUUACCCAGACUAAUGAACUAGCCUACUCACUCAUCUUUCUGAUCCUAUUCCUCUAUAUUAUCCACCCCAAUCCCAAGUUAAUUCUUGUAUGGUCUUUUUGAAAGACUGCAUGAGGUUUUUUGUUUUUAUUUCUGCUUAAAUUAUUUGCUGAUUUAUUUGCACUUAGGAUACAGGCCUAAAUCCUUAGCUUUGCUGACAUCAUGAAAGAUGUGGGCCCUCCCUAGCACUCCAGUUUCAUCUUACAUCAUGCCACUCUUUGGUACUUUAUCCUUACUGUCCAGCUUCAUUUCCUAGAGUGUCCUGUGACCCUCUUGACUCAGAGCCUCUGCACGUGCUGUUCCCUGUGUUUGUCUCCUUUGUCCAGCUCUACCAACUUCCUUUAUCUCUCAGUGUUCAGGUGUCAUCUCAUCUCCAGCAUGAAUUAGAUGUCUUAUCUUGUGCUUCUCAUUGGGCUAUACUGUAAUGCUUAGCACAUUAGUCAGUUCCCUCAUUGCUAUAAAGAAAUACCUGAGGCUGGGUAAUUUAUAAAGAAAGGAGGUUUAAUUGG